UAAUACGGGGGGUGCAAGCGUUGUUCGGAAUUAUUGGGCGUAAAGAGCGUGUAGGCGGCUUGGUAAGUCAGAUGUGAAAGCCCCGGGCUUAACCCGGGAAGUGCAUUUGAAACUGCCUGGCUAGAGUAGGGGAGAGGGAAGUGGAAUUCCUGGUGUAGAGGUGAAAUUCGUAGAUAUCAGGAGGAACACCGGUGGCGAAGGCGACUUCCUGGCCCUAUACUGACGCUGAGACGCGAGAGCGUGGGUAGCAAACAGG
rnacentral:rRNA from 1 species